rnacentral:rRNA from 1 species
AUGAGAGGGAGAGAGAGAAAGCGAAGGAAAGGAGGGAACGGAGGAGAGGUGCGGCUGCCUGCUGGUGGUGGAGAGCCCCGGCGACGACGAACAGCAGGAGGCCGACCUUGGAGCACUGGUGCUCGAGGCGAGGAGCAUCUCCUCGAGGAGGAGGAGGGCGUCAUGGAAGAAGACCCCGGGGGUAGAAAAGGCCAUCGGCGUAGGUGCAGAGGCGAGGCGCUCGGGCUCCUAACGGCGAGCAGUAGAAGGGGGGCAAGGGCCUGGAUGGGCUGCUCCAGCGACCGGCCGGCGAGGUCGGAUGGCGGCCUGGGUCUGGGAGCAGAGGAGAAACUCGGGCAGGUGGCUCUGGCGCGACUGCGGGGAAUCGAACGUCGUGAUGAUUCAACCUUCGUACGAGCCCCGCACACAAACAGUCGAUACAGAAGAUAUGCCCACGCGCGUUUCAGUAAUCCAGUUCAAGGCCAGCGAAAAAAAAGAGAAAGAACCCGCACCCCACGUUCUCCACCUCCUUCCCCGACGACCUGCCAGAUCUUAUAUACCCCCGAACACGAAGCACUCCGCACCCCCUCUGCGGCGACCAGUCCAGCGCCGCCCUCUCAACCGGAUGCCCGAAGGUCGCCGCGACCACCAGACGCCUCCCUCUACAGCAGACGGCCCUCUCUCUCCCCGACCACGCAGGUAUCUCUCUGUACCACUAUCAAAUUCGAUGCCGUCCCGCUCAUGGUCCAUGGACCUUCCGCCAUGCUCGACUCGCCAGAGCUCGCCUCUUCCUUCGUCCACUCCUCCCCGACCCACUCCGGCCCCUAUGCUUGUCUCCUGCACCACCGUCUUCACGAUCAUCGGCUCAUUCGUUUUCGCCCCUCACCCUCCGCAACAGACGCCACGCACCUCCAUCAGCCCUCGCCUUGUCGCCUCCACCAAUGCCCCAUGCCACCAGCCAGCGACGUAGUGCUCUCCUCGAGGCCUAGAUCAUGCCUCCUAUGUGUUCGUCAUGGUCGACGGUGGAGCAUAUGCAAGGCAAGCGCUCGAACCGAAUCACAUCGAUGGGACUGCGUCCCUGUCCGAAGCAUCGAGAGAUGGAGUCGCUGGCGCCAACCACUGAACCAUGAUCCUUUGCGGCGUGCGCCUACUUCAACCAGCCUCCCUCCCGCCGUCUCGCCGCCAGGAGCCCCCUACGGGGAUGUUGCCGGCGUAGAAUGCAUCUACAACGCUGCUCUGUUCACAAGAAUUCCCAAGCGAUAUUACCAUCCAAGUUGGGGAGAGCAGCUUCCGCACAAGCUCCCACUGGCAUCUAAAUGCGGCUACAUAAGGAAGCUGGUGUCGGGGGCCAACGGGUCCAGGGUGACCCACCUCGAGAUCACAGGCAUGCCCGGCGACGCCAAGGCGUUUGACCUCGUCAUCAAGUUCUGCUACGGCAUCAACUUCGAGAUCACCACCGACACCAUCGCCAGGCUGCGCUGCGCCACCGAGCACCUGGAGAUGACCAAGGGAGUGCAAGCCCGGGAACCUCAUCGGGCCAGGACCGAGGAGCUCCUCCCGACGUCCGACAAGGUGCAGAUCAUUAGCAGGUGCAUCGAUGCCAUAGCGACCAUGACCUGCAGCGAUGGCAGUCAUGAGGGACUGGACAGUGCUACGGCAGCGUGGGCACGGCGCCCAAGCCCGUGGAUGACUGGUGGGCCAACGAGCUGGACGUUCUUGGGUAAAAUUCAGUUCUUGAAAUGGACAGUGCAGCGAACACAAGCAAAGAAAUUGGUAGAAGAUCCGCCUCCACAGACAUCACACACUCCCGGAUCUCCCACCGGCAACGCCCCGAGGUCAUUGACACAGGAGUCCAAGAAGAAGGGAGGAGGCACUCCUUUGGGCUGCUCUAGGAAAUACACCAGACUGAGCGAGAGUUCCAUAAGAAUUCAUGAAUCUCUUGUUUUCAUCUUCCAAAACAAUAGUGAGAGGACACCGAAGCUAGAGCAAGUAGUAGACCGAGAUAAAAGUGGUGGAGGAAGAGCAAAGUUUGUCUUGUUGGGGGUGGGGAGCCUUUCCCCCCGGUGA